UAACGACAUAAGUUUGUAGGAGAAAAAGUGUGAGAAUAUAAAAGUUCCAUAAUAAUACAUUAUUCUCUAUGGAUUAAUUAUUUUUUUUAAAUAUUUUUUUAAGUUAAAAAGCUGGUCUUUCCAUCCAUGUAAAAAUUGGAAAAGGAAUAUCGAGAAAGCAAAAUAAACCAGGCCCUACCUGCGGAAAGGGAUUUUUCUUAUUAUUCAAGAAUACUAGCAGCUUACCUCUAACGAUUAAAACAAUGUAUAUUUUUGUUUCAAUACUAUUUAUUUAUAAAUUGAAUAAGUAACCCAACUUACGCCAGGUUAUUUUCGCAUUUUAUGUAAACGCUAUAAUGCGAUAGAAAUCGCUAAUUUGUAC